rnacentral:rRNA from 1 species
GACAGCAGCAGCCGCGGGAAUACAGAGGGUGCGAGCGUUAAUCGGAUUUACUGGGCGUAAAGCGUGCGUAGGCGGCUUUUUAAGUCGGAUGUGAAAUCCCUGAGCUUAACUUAGGAAUUGCAUUCGAUACUGGGAAGCUAGAGUAUGGGAGAGGAUGGUAGAAUUCCAGGUGUAGCGGUGAAAUGCGUAGAGAUCUGGAGGAAUACCGAUGGCGAAGGCAGCCAUCUGGCCUAAUACUGACGCUGAGGUACGAAAGCAUGGGGAGCAAACAGGAUUAGAUACCCCGGUAGUCCCUGUCUCUUAUAA